GCCCGGCUAGCUCAAUCGGUAGAGCGUAAGACUCUUAGUACUCUUACAACGUCUAAAUCUUAAGGCUGUGGGUUCGACCCCCACGUCGGGCU